UGCGAGCGGAUGAAGGGAGCUUGCUCCUGGAUUCAGCGGCGGACGGGUGAGUACUGCCUAGGAAUCUGCCUGGUAGUGGGGGAUAACGUCCGGAAACGGGCGCUAAUACCGCAUACGUCCUGAGGGAGAAAGUGGGGGAUCUUCGGACCUCACGCUAUCAGAUGAGCCUAGGUCGGAUUAGCUAGUUGGUGGGGUAAAGGCCUACCAAGGCGACGAUCCGUAACUGGUCUGAGAGGAUGAUCAGUCACACUGGAACUGAGACACGGUCCAGACUCCUACGGGAGGCAGCAGUGGGGAAUAUUGGACAAUGGGCGAAAGCCUGAUCCAGCCAUGCCGCGUGUGUGAAGAAGGUCUUCGGAUUGUAAAGCACUUUAAGUUGGGAGGAAGGGCAGUAAGUUAAUACCUUGCUGUUUUGACGUUACCAACAGAAUAAGCACCGGCUAACUUCGUGCCAGCAGCCGCGGUAAUACGAAGGGUGCAAGCGUUAAUCGGAAUUACUGGGCGUAAAGCGCGCGUAGGUGGUUCAGCAAGUUGGAUGUGAAAUCCCCGGGCUCAACCUGGGAACUGCAUCCAAAACUACUGAGCUAGAGUACGGUAGAGGGUGGUGGAAUUUCCUGUGUAGCGGUGAAAUGCGUAGAUAUAGGAAGGAACACCAGUGGCGAAGGCGACCUCCUGGACUGAUACUGACACUGACGUGCGAAAGCGUGGGGAGCAAACAGGAUUAGAUACCCUGGUAGUCCACGCCGUAAACGAUGUCGACUAGCCGUUGGGAUCCUUGAGAUCUUAUUGGCGCAGCUAACGCGAUAAGUCGACCGCCUGGGGAGUACGGCCGCAAGGUUAAAACUCAAAUGGAAUUGACGGGGGCCCGCACAAGCGGUGG
rnacentral:rRNA from 1 species